rnacentral:tRNA from 1 species
GCAGUGGUAGUUCAGUGGUAGAAUUCACGUCUUCCAUGCGGGAGACCUGGGUUCAAUUCUUGGCCAAUGCA